CCUACGGGAGGCAGCAGUGGGGAAUUUUGGACAAUGGGCGAAAGCCUGAUCCAGCAAUGCCGCGUGCAGGAUGAAGGCCUUCGGGUUGUAAACUGCUUUUGUACGGAACGAAACGGUUCGCCUUAAUACGGUGGGCUAAUGACGGUACCGUAAGAAUAAGCACCGGCUAACUACGUGCCAGCAGCCGCGGUAAUACGUAGGGUGCGAGCGUUAAUCGGAAUUACUGGGCGUAAAGCGUGCGCAGGCGGUUAUAUAAGACAGAUGUGAAAUCCCCGGGCUCAACCUGGGACCUGCAUUUGUGACUGUAUAGCUAGAGUACGGUAGAGGGGGAUGGAAUUCCGCGUGUAGCAGUGAAAUGCGUAGAUAUGCGGAGGAACACCGAUGGCGAAGGCAAUCCCCUGGACCUGUACUGACGCUCAUGUACGAAAGCGUGGGGAGCAAACAGGAUUAGAUACCCUGGUAGUCCACGCCCUAAACGAUGUCAACUGGUUGUUGGGUCUUCACUGACUCAGUAACGAAGCUAACGCGUGAAGUUGACCGCCUGGGGAGUACGGCCGCAAGGUUGAAAACUCAAAAGAGUAGUAGG
rnacentral:rRNA from 1 species